rnacentral:rRNA from 1 species
UAAGCGGAGGAAAAGAAACUAACAAGGAUUCCCCUAGUAACGGCGAGUGAAGCGGGAUUAGCUCAAAUUUAAAAUCUGGCGGCCUCAGGUCGUCCGAGUUGUAGUCUAGAGAAUCGUUUUCCGCGUUGGCCUGUGUACAAGUCCCUUGGAACAGGGCGUCAUAGAGGGUGAGAAUCCCGUCCUUGACACAGACUACCAAUGCUUUGUGAUGCGAUCUCGAAGAGUCGAGUUGUUUGGGAAUGCAGCUCAAAAUGGGUGGUAAAUUCCAUCUAAAGCUAAAUAUUGGCGAGAGACCGAUAGCGAACAAGUACCGUGAGGGAAAGAUGAAAAGCACUUUGGAAAGAGAGUUAAACAGUACGUGAAAUUGUUAAAAGGGAAACGAUUGAAGUCAGUCAUGCUUUCCGAGACUCAGCCGAUUCUGUCGGUGUACUUCUCGGUUGGCAGGCCAGCAUCAGUUUCGAUCUGUGGAAAAGGUUGGAGGGAACGUGGCAUCCUCGGAUGUGUUAUAGCCCUUCUUCGAAUACAUAGAGCGGGACUGAGGAACGCAGCGCGCCUUUUAUUAGGUUGGCCCUCGGGUACAUACGCGCUUAGGAUGCUGGCAUAAUGGCUUUAAACGACCCGUCUUGAAACACG